rnacentral:rRNA from 1 species
AACGCUGGCGGCGUGCCUCAGACAUGCAAGUCGAACGAUUAAAGCUCCCUUCGGGGAGUGCAUAGAGUGGCGCACGGGUGAGUAACACGUAAGUAAUCUACCUUCGAGUGGGGAAUAACAGUCGGAAACGACUGCUAAUACCGCAUAAUGCAGCGGCAUCGCAAGAUGACAGUUGUUAAAGGAGCAAUUCGCUUGAAGAGGAGCUUGCGGCAGAUUAGCUAGUUGGCAAGGUAAUGGCUUACCAAGGCUACGAUCUGUAACCGGUCUAAGAGGACGGUCGGUCACACUGACACUGAACAACGGGUCAGACUCCUACGGGAGGCAGCAGUCGGGAAUUUUGGGCAAUGGGCGAAAGCCUGACCCAGCAACGCCGCGUGAAGGAUGAAGUAUUUCGGUAUG